rnacentral:misc_RNA from 1 species
AAGUCGUAACAAGGUUUCCGUAGGUGAACCUGCGGAAGGAUCAUUAACACGUAUCCAAACGUUAAAACCCCCCCCGUGAACCUUCAUCCUGCUCUUGUAACCCGCGUAGUUCGCAAUAUCUGAUAAAUCAGAGACCUUUGGCUACGUGCGAACAUUGGAACAGUUACAAUCGAGCGGUAGUUCUAUAGGCAAUGUUUCUCCAAGCAGUCAGUGUCGGAAAGUGUCAUUGAUUGUGCAAGGAUAGCGCUUCUACGAUUCCUGUAGACCGUACACUCGGGCAGGAGCUUUGCCAAAGGGUCCCCAUGCCCCCUAAUAACCCCUCAAUGUAAUACAUUGGGUAAAAAAACCGAACAACUGUUAACAAUGGAUAUCUUGGUUGUC